AAGGUGUGCUCAGCUCAGUCUGUCACUGCUGGAUUGGGCUCAGUGUUCACACUCUCUCUGCCUCUUUAAAGGACUAAACAGCAGCUAAAGAAGUCAUCCUGAAAUUUCCAUUGAAAAAAGAAGAAGCUUUGAUGGGAAGUCAUGUGACAACCUUGUCAUUGAACACUAGAACAAAAGUUACUAAAUAAUCAAGAAUAGCAAAGCUCCAGACUUAAGGGGAAGGUUACAAAACUUAAGGUUAGUAAACAGCUUUGGAUCUCUGGUGGAGUUGAGGAAUUUCAGACACUUCUUCCCUCAAGAUCAAGUCUGGGCGAGUCUAGAUGAAUGAAUUAGAGGAAGUGAAGGUUCUUGAGCCUUUUCGUAAGCAGACUGAGAAAAGCACUGACCACUAUCCUGGUCUGACAGCCAUCUGUACGGACAAAGACCACCGCAAAUUAGCAAUAUGCAGCAUCAUAUGUGGCCUCUCCUGCUUUGGAAUUAUGUCCCUUAUGUACUCCGUUAAGGCUCGAGAGACGAGAAAAACGCUUGAACAUGAAAGCAGCAGUGAAACACAAGCAAAGGUGGAAAAAUACUCUGAAAAAGCUUGUAAAUGGGGAAUUGGGGCGAUUGUAGCCUGGGUGUGUUUAAUUCUCAUCUUCCCAUUUCUAGUGGUAUUUUUUUCCUAUAUUGUAACUUUCAUAGAUUGACACUGUGAAACUGUUUAUGACUUUUAUUGCAUAUACUGCAUGUUACAUCUAAACGACUUAAAGAAGGACAGUUUUUAGAGAGAGAGAGAGAGAUGGUCAUACCUACACUUACAGGGGUGUUGAAUGGUGCUCGCUGACAAAUUCUGUAAAUAGACAAAAUUUUAAAUUCAUAUAUACACCUGUAAGGUUAUAACAGAAAAUACCGGAUGGUUACUAGUAAAAGCAUACGUCAAGAUCCCUAAAUGAGUUUAAAACCCACCACUGCAGAGCAGAAAGGCCAAAGCAGGUAGUCCAAAAGUGGUAACUAUCAGGAAUGUGUUACAUAUAUUAAAGCCAAGCACACAAGAUACAAACAAACUACUUUUACAAUCCAGCAAGCUGUUUUUAUUUAGGCUCUUAGUGGAAAUUAGAAAUGAAACACUCACAGAGAGCAUGGCAGUCAAACGUUGAAUGUGGUUACAUUAUUAUUAUCAUCAUUCUGUUCUUGUAAAUAAGUUAUUCCGAUAUGUUGUGCUUUUGAUGUUUUGUACAAUGCGUGUCUUUCAGCCUUUGUAAUAAAAUGUGUAACAGUCAAAA